AUAGAUGAAUUAUUUCGAUUGGCUGAUAGGCCAGCUCUCCGGGGGGGUGUUAUAUCGAUUGGCUAGCAGAGCCGUCCCUUGAUGAGGGGCGGGACUAGGGGGGUCAGCCGUGCUUGUGAGUGGCUGGAGCCUAGCAGCCGCCAGGCCCUGUGGUGGGGCUGUGGCUGUUCCACCUGCCCCACCCUUGGGAGACAGCCAGGCCCAGCUCCUUGCUCCUAGCGGCCGGCCUCUCGCAGCCAGGGUCCCGGUUCCAGUCACCCGCUGAGCGAGCCGGAGCUGCCACAAGGCAGGGGGUGGGUCGGUCCCGGGCUCCUCCUGGCAGCGGAGAGCCGGGUUUUAGCUCACAGCUGUGCGGCUCCGCCGGCGUCAGCCCGCGCCCGCACCUUCGGGCGCGCUUCGCGGAGGGACGCUGUGGUUUAGCAAGACCAGGCUCUUCUACAAAGCCGGGGCGGGCUCGCGGUUGCUUUGUUGGUCACGCAGUGAUGCCAGUUUGCCGUCCUGUUUCUGACAUCCCCAGUGACACCCGUUCUUCAAUAUACUUCCCUGCCCUUGCUCAUGGGGCACCUCACCUGCAAUCCCUAAUCACCUGCACGGGGUUCGUGUAAUGCCGCACGUGGGCCAGUCGCCAGACCAGGCAUCUUGUACUGGAGCAUUGCUCUAGUGGAGAUUUGAGGAGACUGAAUAGUGGCUAGGGCAUGGCAGAGAGUGCUAUUCCAGAGAGCAUGUUUUCCUCUGCAGAUCUAUUCAGGGCCCAAUCCAAGGGUGAUUUUUAAAUCAGUGGGACGCUGCAGGGUGUGUCUGUCUGAGUAGAUCCUUCUGCAAGAUCAGUACCUUAUACUGCAAGCUCUCUAGGGCAUGGAUCAUGUCCCAGUGGCUGGAUCAUGCUCCCUUUGAUGUCCAUGGUAAAAUCACUACCAGACUUCACUAGGAAUGGAAGGUAUUUGCAUAGGUUCGUCUUCUCAUAUAGAUGAAAGCACCAGAUUCAAAGGUAAAUCAAAGGAAAAUGACAAUCCAGAGGACAUGACAUCCCUGACAGCACAUCAGCAGUCUAAAUGUUUGACGGAUCCAGUAAGCCACUUCAAAGGCACCAACAUGAAUGCCUAAGGAUUCUGCCCUGUAACCAGCUGCUCCUUUACGGAAAAAUUUCUGAAAAUGCCAUCCAAAGAUGAAAUUUAACAUCUUUUCAUUUUGAGGUCCAGAUAACAGCACCCAUAAUAUCCCCAGUCCACCCUUGAAGCACAACGGGUAGAAGGAACAUUGAAACAGAAAUACGUCCUCGGACUAGAGUGUGAAAGAAAAAGCGCUGUAGCACUGUCUACACUGCCGCGUUACAACGCUGAAACUUGCAGCGCUUGGGGGUGUUUUUUCACACCCGAGUGAGAAAGUUCCAGCGCUGUAAAGUACAAGCCUUUAGACACAUAUAAAUACAUAUCUUGCUGCCUCUUCUAGAGGUAGAAAAAAAGAAUCAUCCCCCACAAAGAAAGCAUCCUAACUCAUUUCUCCAUCAAUGCCAAUUACUUACCACCCCCAAUCUUAUCUCCCCACCCAUCCUAUCCCCUCAAGCAAAUAUCUGAAAAAAGACAUGGGCUUUGCAUUGUGAUCUGAAGACAAGGAGACAUGAUUUGUUGGGCCAGCUUGAGAUGCUUAUUAAAGUAGCCCUUCUAUACACACAUAAAGAUUGCCUAGACAACAGCUCCAUCAAGUUUAAACCAAGGGACUAUCACUUGAAAUGUGUCAGUUGAUUUGAAUUCUUUCAGGAGAUUAUGGGAAGACAGGCUUUCUGUAAAAUACAGAGCCAGUGAAACUCAGAAAACUCUGCUGUCGUAAUAAAAAUCCAUAUGUCCCCCAA